UGAGGAAUAUUGGUCAAUGGACGAGAGUCUGAACCAGCCAAGUAGCGUGCAGGAUGACGGCCCUAUGGGUUGUAAACUGCUUUUGUGCGGGGAUAAAGUGUGCCACGUGUGGCAUAUUGCAGGUACCGCAUGAAUAAGGACCGGCUAAUUCCGUGCCAGCAGCCGCGGUAAUACGGAAGGUCCGGGCGUUAUCCGGAUUUAUUGGGUUUAAAGGGAGCGUAGGCCGGAGAUUAAGCGUGUUGUGAAAUGCCGCGGCUCAACCGUGGCACUGCAGCGCGAACUGGUUUUCUUGAGUGCGCGCGACGCAGGCGGAAUUCGUGGUGUAGCGGUGAAAUGCUUAGAUAUCACGAGGAACCCCGAUUGCGAAGGCAGC
rnacentral:rRNA from 1 species